AUUUAAGCAUAUAACUAAGCGGAGGAAAAGAAACUAACUAGGAUUGGAUUAGUAACGGCGAGUGAAGUUCCAAUAGCCCAGUCUGUGAAUCGACACUUGUGUUGAAUUGUGGAAUGACGGUUGGUUUGCCCAACUAGCAGUCCAAGUCCCCUGGAAUGGGGCAGCAUAGAGGGUGAGACUCCCGUAUGUCUGCUGGUGUGAGUACCAACUGAAGAGUCGAGUUGUUUGGGAUUGCAGCUCUAAGGGGGUGGUAAAUUCCAUCCAAGGCUAAAUACUGGUGAGAGACCGAUAGUAUACAAGUACCGUGAGGGAAAGAUGCAAAGCCGCGCGAGAGCGCAGUCAAAGAGUACCUGAAAUUGCUGAAAAGGAAGCGAAGGAAACUAGUGCUAACCAUCCUGCACUUCCCUGACUGCUUGCAGUUGGGGCGCUGCGGCUGGUGUUGUUUGUUUUCUCGGGUGGCAGUGGAAGCUAAUGACACUGCUGUCUGGGUUGUCAGACGAAAUGGUUUUCUUUUUCCCGUCUUGAAACAC
rnacentral:rRNA from 1 species